rnacentral:rRNA from 1 species
ACGCUGGCGGCGUGCCUAAUACAUGCAAGUAGAACGCUGAAGAGAGGAGCUUGCUCUUCUUGAAUGAGUUGCGAACGGGUGAGUAACGCGUAGGUAACCUGCCUUGUAGCGGGGGAUAACUAUUGGAAACGAUAGCUAAUACCGCAUAACAAUGGGUGACACAUGUCAUUUAUUUGAAAGGGGCAAUUGCUCCACUACAAGAUGGACCUGCGUUGUAUUAGCUAGUAGGUGAGGUAACGGCUCACCUAGGCGACGAUACAUAGCCGACCUGAGAGGGUGAUCGGCCACACUGGGACUGAGACACGGCCCAGACUCCUACGGGAAGCAGCAGUAGGGAAUCUUCGGCAAUGGGGGCAACCCUGACCGAGCAACGCCGCGUGAGUGAAGAAGGUUUUCGGAUCGUAAAGCUCUGUUGUAAGUCAAGAACGAGUGUGAGAGUGGAAAGUUCACACUGUGACGGUAGCUUACCAGAAAGGGACGGCUAACUACGUGCCAGCAGCCGCGGUAAUACGUAGGUCCCGAGCGUUGUCCGGAUUUAUUGGGCGUAAAGCGAGCGCAGGCGGUUUGAUAAGUCUGAAGUUAAAGGCUGUGGCUCAACCAUAGUUCGCUUUGGAAACUGUCAAACUUGAGUGCAGAAGGGGAGAGUGGAAUUCCAUGUGUAGCGGUGAAAUGCGUAGAUAUAUGGAGGAACACCGGUGGCGAAAGCGGCUCUCUGGUCUGUAACUGACGCUGAGGCUCGAAAGCGUGGGGAGCGAACAGGAUUAGAUACCCUGGUAGUCCACGCCGUAAACGAUGAGUGCUAGGUGUUGGGUCCUUUCCGGGAUUCAGUGCCGCAGCUAACGCAUUAAGCACUCCGCCUGGGGAGUACGACCGCAAGGUUGAAACUCAAAGGAAUUGACGGGGGCCCGCA